UGCACUUAUCGAAGUUUCUAGAAUCGGGUAAAAUCAUAAAUCCCAUUUCUGCUCCUCCUUCCCUCGUCUUCGAGCUAGGGUUUUCUCCCGUAGCGGUCAGCUCACGAUUGCAACCAACUUCCAUUCUGAUAUUUUCCCCCUUUUUUACUCACAGUCAUGCCUCGGUAUUACUGUGAUUAUUGCGACACUUAUUUGACCCACGACUCUCCAUCAGUUAGAAAACAACACAAUGCAGGGUACAAACACAAGGCAAAUGUUAGGACGUACUACCAGCAAUUUGAGGAGCAACAAACCCAGAGCUUAAUCGACCAAAGAAUCAAGGAACAUCUUGGCCAAGCUGCUGCUUUCCAUCAGGUUGGAGCUGCUUUCAAUCAACAUCUAAUGGCUCAGAGACCUCGACUUCCUGUUCUUCCGACUCCUGUUAUGCCUAUUCCGAGGGGUGCACCUUUACCUAUAAAUCAACCAAUGGUCCCUGGGAUUAGGCCACCUGUACUGCCAAGACCAGUUCCAGGUGCUCCAGGUUAUGUUCCUGUUCCAGGCAUGCCACCAACGGUAGCACCACCUGGUGCACCUUCCUUCCCUGGUCAAAUAAAUGGCCUUCCACAACCUCCUACAUUGGCUCCCCCAUCAACGGUUACUGUAACUGCAACGACACCCACUUCUUCUAAUGCAGCACCUACCAUGGCAACACCAGCACUGUAUCAGUCCAAUCCUGCUGCCCCAGCGAGUGGAGGGUUUGACAAUUUCAAUGCCAAUGCACAGCCUUCUGAAGCUAAUCAGUAAUCUGGUUAAACUGCCUGCUUUGCUUCCAUAUCUGAAGUAAGAACCUAAGUAAGCCCAUGUAUCUGUGCUAUUGAAUGUGAGGCUUUCCAAUGAGUAAGGGUUCACGGUAACAUUUUUCUUGAAGGAUAGUUUGUUUAUUAGACCCGAAGCAUUGACUCAUUUUGCUUUGAUAUUGUUUUUUGUUUAUUUUUGGGAUGAAUUUGUCUUUUGGGAACCUUAUAAAGUUUGGAGAUGAAUAUCUGGUCUCAAAUGUUUUAGGCCAAUGCAGAAGUUCAAAGUGGGCUUAUCUUUUCACCAUUUGGGAUUAGCAGUGGUUGGUUGACACAAUUUCUAUUGCACCAAAAUAAUGCAACCAGAGCCAGCUGGCAUUCUUCGGAGUCCGAUGAUAAUAUUUCACUCAGCUUUCGUAUUGGGAUUUUUACGUUUAAAUUGCUUAAACUUUUUGGGUGCUGAAUGGAGGAUAGCUUCGUACCACCAUUAGUGUUUUUUAAAAAAAAAAUAUUAAGGUGAAUUUUAGGUAGAUUUUGAUUGUAAUGCAGUUGGAAGUUGCUGACAGCUUCUGUAUGUGCUAUUUGUGAAGAAAUGAAAUAUGUACUAGCUGCUCCAUGAUGAUUUGUUUAUAUAUGCAUCAGAAAUAUAAUGCGGCAGUUGGAACUUGCA